GGCCUUCUGAGAGGAGUGGAUAGAAGGUCGGACCUGCCCGGUGACGAUAGUGUUAAACGGCUGCGGUACCCUGACCGUGCAAAGGUAGCAUAAUCAUUUGUCUUUUAAUUGAAGGCUGGUAUGAAUGGUUUGACGAGAACUGAGCUGUCUCUUUAAAAAUAUUAAAAAAUUAACUUUUAGGUGAAGAGGCCUAAAUUUUGUUGAGGGACAAGAAGACCCUAUCGAGCUUUAGUGACUUUUUGGGGUGGUGUCAUUUAAGGCGUGCCAGAAAAAAUCUUUGGUUGGGGCGACUCAGGAAUAUGUAAAACUUCCUGUUUAAUUGUGGGGCAUUCAAGUUUUGAUCCAGUAUUACUGAUUAAAGGAAAAAGUUACCGUAGGGAUAACAGCGUAAUCUUCUUGGAGAGUAGGUAUCGAAAAGGGGGUUUGCGACCUCGAUGUUGGACUAAGAUAUCCUAAGGGUGUAGGAGCUCUUGAGGGUUGGUC
rnacentral:rRNA from 1 species